UACCAGGCUAGGCCGGGGGAGGUAGGCGUUCCCCUGUAACUGAAGUCUAGAUGCAGGGCGACAGCUGGGGGCGGGAAAAGGUACGGCCCCAGUCCCGUCCUAAUAGCUAUUGAAGUCCUGUCCUCCGGGAUCGGGGGUGGUGUACCUGCUUCCAAAGGGAAGCAAGGGCACCUUUGCCACGGGAAAACCGCCAGGCCCGGAAGGGAGCAGCGGCACCGUGGACCUGCGAUGCUCGGAGGGGUGCGGGAUGGAGGCAGGGACGGGGAUGCUGUGGCCGUACCCCUACCCCACCCCAGUGGCCUGGUA
rnacentral:SRP_RNA from 2 species